CCUACGGGCGGCAGCAGUGAGGAAUAUUGGUCAAUGGGCGGAAGCCUGAACCAGCCAAGUAGCGUGCAGGAUGACGGCCCUCCGGGUUGUAAACUGCUUUUAUACGGGAAUAACUCGCCUUACGUGUAGGGCUUUGCAUGUACCGUAUUAAUUAGGACCGGCUAAUUCCGGGCCAGCAGCCGCGGUAAGACGGGGGAUGCGAGCGUUAUCCGGAUUUAUUGGGGUUAAAGGGGACGCGGGCGGUCUGUAAAGUCAGCGGUCAAAGCCAGGGGCUCAACCCCGGCCCGCCGUUGAAACUGGCAGUCUCGAGUUGGAGAGAAGUAUGCGGAAGGCGCGGUGUAGCGGUGAAAUGCAUAGAUAUCGCGCAGAACUCCGAUUGCGAAGGCAGCAUGCCGGCUCCACACUGACGCUGAGGCACGAAAGCGUGGGUAUCGAACAGGAUUAGAUACCCUUGUAGUC
rnacentral:rRNA from 1 species